GGGCCCGUGGCCUAGCCUGGAUCAGGGCAUCGAACCCGUUUCAGGGAUCGUGUAAGCCUCCGGACGAUUAGGGUGAAAGCCGAGGGUCAGGGGUUCAAAUCCCCUCGGGCCCG
rnacentral:tRNA from 1 species